ACUCUCGGCAACGGAUAUCUCGGCUCACGCAUCGAUGAAGAACGUAGCAAAAUGCGAUACUUGGUGUGAAUUGCAGAAUCCCGUGAACCAUCGAGUUUUUGAACGCAAGUUGCGCCCAAAGCCUUUUGGUUGAGGGCACGUCUGCCUGGGCGUCACACAUAGCGUCGC
rnacentral:rRNA from 1 species